CCUACGGGUGGCAGCAGUGAGGAAUAUUGGUCAAUGGGCGAGAGCCUGAACCAGCCAAGUCGCGUGAAGGAUGACGGCCCUACGGGUUGUAAACUUCUUUUGUCAGGGAGCAAUUUAGUCCACGUGUGGGCUUAGCGAGAGUACCUGAAGGAAAAGCAUCGGCGAACUCCGUGUCAGCAGCCGCGGUAAUACGGGGGUUGCGGGCGUUAUCCGGAUUUAUUGGGGUAAAGGGGUGCGUAGGCGGAAUAUCAAGUCAGCGGUAAAAAUUCGGGGCUGAACCCCGUCGUGCCGUUGAAACUGAUGUUCUUGAGUGGGCGAGAGGUAUGCGGAAUGCGUGGUGUAGCGGUGAAAUGCAUAGAUAUCACGCAGAACUCCGAUUGCGAAGGCAGCAUACCGGCGCCCAACUGACGCUGAAGCACGAAAGCGUGGGUAUCGAACAGGAUUAGAUACCCCUGUAGUC
rnacentral:rRNA from 1 species